AAUAUAAAUGCCCUUUCCUCUUGUAAACAUUUCGUAUAAGAGGUCUAACGGAGUCCAACACAUCUCAACCUAGAUUUACUUAAAUUAAUUUUCUUAUGUGAAUGCCACCAUGCAUAUGUCACAUGCAAAUUGUUACUGAUAAAUAUCAUAUUUUAGGGCUUGUGUUGUGGCCAAUGAUCGUCUCUAUGUUAUUGGUGGUCAAGAAGGCGAUUUUAUGGCCAAACCUGGGUCACCUAUUUUUAAGUGCUCACGCAGGAUGGAGGUAAGUCGCAAAUAUACUGUUAUGGUUCUUGUCUUAUUUAGUACUAUUGUGAUCAACCCAACCUCCUUCUGUUCCAUAGUCUGGCACUCCCUGUGACUCAUUGUUUAUUGUCAUAUCAGGUUGUCUUUAGCGAUGUAUACAUGUUGGAUGACGAGAUGAAGUGGAAAGAGCUACCUCCAAUGCCAAAACCAAAUUCACAUAUUGAAUUUGCGUGGGUGCUUGUAAACAAUUCGAUUGUUAUUCUUGGAGGCACAACAGAAAAGCACCCUGAAACCAAGAAAAUGGUUUUAAACGGAGAAGUGAUCCAGUUUAACUUGAAUACUUUGGUAUUGGCUUCUCUUAUAAAGCUCUUAGGAAUUUUGUUUUUGCUGCCGCAAAUUUGUUCAUACUCAAUCAUUUUGUCAACUUACAUUCUUAUAUGCAUCAUACUAUGUUAUUACUUAUUAGUGUAUCUGAUAAUUUGUUUUCAAUGUUAUCAACUUUGCAGAAGUGGUCAGUGAUCGGAAAAUUACCAUACCGGGUGAAAACGACUUUAGCAGGAUUUUGGAAUGGAUGGUUGUACUUCUCUUCAGGACAGAGAGACAAGGGACCCGAUGAUCCAUCACCAAAAAAGGUCAUUGGAGAAAUGUGGAGAACAAAAUUAAAAUUGAAUGAGUGAGAGCAAUUGCUGUGGAAUCUUUUUGCAGCUUCUUUAUUUAAUAUCUAAAAAUUGCAGCAGAGGUGAAGAGGCCAAAAUGUUACAUAAUCUUUGUCGCUAGAAUGUUCAUUGUUGUAAUUCACUGAGAAUGACUAAUUCAAAUCCAACAUUAAUAGAAAAGAAAGUUUUUACAAUGCCAAUAGUUUUUACAAUCUUCAUAUCUCUUUCUAAUAAGUAGUUGCAGUUAAUACAUGUAAAUCAAUAGUUUUUAUGUAUUUACAAUGACAAUACUAUAAAAAGCAGUAAAAAACACUACAUAAUGGUUAUGUGAUUGAAAAUGCAUUGAUGAACUAUACUGCACAUAACAUACCGGUCUUAACACAUAGCACGUCACAUGAGAUUCAUUGUUUCCUUAAGUAGAGAUUUGAGUUGAGUGCAGUCAAAUCUAAAUCAUUCGAUCAAGAUCUUAUAGUUGGUCUAUAUUUCAAACUUAGUAUUUUAGAUUUAAAGCACAAUCAUAAUCUAGAUCGAAAUCUUGACUGUCCAGCCUUUAUCAGACGCUUCUGUGUGCAGUCGCACUAUACACAAUCUGAAUCUGUUGAUUAAUCCUUAGAGUUGAAGCACAAGCUCCACAUGAAAGAGCUCUUUAUCAAACCCAAGUCCAGUAGGUUCAACAGGCUGAACUAAACCAUCCACCAUUCCACCAAACACAUACAAAUAACGACCAGAAGGAUCUACGCAUGCACGAUGAAACGAUCUAGACUUAGGUUCAUAUCCAUUUGAUUUCCAGCGCUUCCACAUUCUUGUCAGCACUAUCUUUGAACUCGCUCCGGUUGAAGGAAUAGAACUAAUAUCUAAUAUCCAAAAGUCAUUUUUCCUAUGUCUUGAUGAGUCUUCUCCUCCAUAAAUUAACAACCUGCCUCCUAAAACCAUUGUAGCAGUGUGACCAACUCUAGGAAGUGAAACACCAUCUGGUAUAUUUUGUAAAUCGUAAAGUACUUGAAUCCAUCUCAUGUAACCUUGACAGGUAUCCAAUAACCAAACAUCAUGAAGGACUUCAUAACCUAAACCUCUACCUCCAAAUAGUAUUGUCUUAUUUCUUGCAACGCAAGUUAACGUGUGUCCUGAUCGUGGAGGAGGCGAUGGAUGGAUCGCAAUCUCAAUCCAUGUACCGAAACAAUGACUAUCUGACAACUCUAAGAUCCAUGUGUCCCCUAAACGGAGGCCGUUAAGUCCGAUUCCUCCAUGGAUUACCAUUCUUUUACCAUCAAUACAACAAGCAGCAUGAGCUCCCCUAGGAGGUGGAGCAACACUCCCAACAUCUAGCAUUUUCCAUGAAAAUGUGAUGCUUUUGUUUUCAUUGUGUGUAAGUUUUCCAAUCCAAGUAUCAUUUUGACGGUUUCCAUGAUCAUUGAUGCCUCCAAAGAGAACAAGGAAAUCACCCAUUUCCACACAUGUAUGACCAAAUCUUCCACUUGGAAUGCCUGAAUGAACUGUCUUCCAUUUCAAUAUUUUCUGGAAAUCAUUACCAAUGUAUGCCACCCACGUGUCAUCAAGAUGUCGGCCUAAAACAAACACGAACAAUUAUAUUAUACACUAGCACAUAACUACUCGACUUUUAUUCUUUGCAACCUCUUUAGUGUAACAUCCGCCAUUUGAUCAAUCUAACUGCUGAGACUAUUGUAUCUCUUAUGUUAGACUAAUUCUAUGGUCGAGAUUUAGUAGGAAUCAAAUCCUGAACUUUGCAUUUUUGUGACUCAACUGUCACAAUUGUACAAUUUGGCCCUCGUGUUUCAAUUGCGCAAACACGAUCCUCUAUAAAGCCAAUUGUUACAAUCGGGUCUUCCCUCUAUUAACUGGUCUAGUUUUUAACGCUAAGACCCUACAUAGCCAAUGCAAGUCUAAGUUAGCGUUGACUUAGAAAUUAGACAUUUUUAGAGGGAAGACCUAAUUGUAGCAAUUUUGAUAUCUAAGAGACUCAAGUUGCACAAUUAGGACUUGGAUCAAAAUUGCAUAAUAGUGACUUCCGAAUACUAAAACUGCAAUUAAGCAUUUAAGUAUAAUAUUUUUUUUUGUUUAAGUCCUUUCUUUUUAGGGUAAAGAACUUGUCUCUCUUUAUCAAAACUAGAUAACAUGAUACACAAAUAAAGAAGAUAAGAUUAUAAUAUUUAAUCAUAAUCUAGUCUAAAACCAGAAACCAUCACUAUAAAGAUGCACAUCACAACAUAACAAAGAAAAAUAGCCCAAAACAAAUAUGGAAAGAGAAACUAACCUCCAUCAGAGCCACCACCAAACAAAACAAGACAAUCAGAAACAAAGUUGAGAGAGUGAGAAGCUCUUGCUUUAGGGAAAUCCAAAUCUCCAUGAGGGUAUGACAAUUUAUGGCAACAAACAGAAUCAAUCUUGUAUACUUGCUUAUAGAGUUUCAUCCAUGAAAAUUGAUGAACAUGGUGAUUGGAAUUACAAGACUUGAGUAAUGAAUCCACACAUGUGGAACCUAAGUCUCUCUUGCAUAAAGAUUUCCACAGUGUGUCAGAUGAAGUUAUAUCUUUGAAUCUCUUGCAAGUCAUGGAUAGAGAAAGAACUGCAUCUAUAGGAAGAAAAAGGAUAAUAGUAAAGAUGUAAUCUUGAGGUAUGUUUGUUAUUGGUGAUCCACUAUAAUUAUGAUUACAAUAACUAACACUAGUGGUUUCUUCCAUGUCUGUUUUUUUCUUUUUGAACUUAACUAUUGUCUGUUGGAAGAACAAAAGUUUAUGUUUUUUCUGGUUGGCUUGUGUUUGGCAGAAGACAGAGAAAAGGGUUUGUUUGAGGUAGAUGGUGUGGUAGAUUAAUAAUUGAGAAUUGGUAAAAACUGGUUUUUGUUGAUUUUGUGUAGUAAUGUGUCAUGUUGAAGAUAAUGGUAAAAAAAAAAGGUGUAUAAAGAUUGAUUUUUGACAGGCUAGUGGGGUGCCCAUUUUUUUCUUGUCGUUUCUAUGGAAUUAUUAUGAGUCUUGGUUUUUCUUUCAACAUGUUUUGGCUUGUUUUUGUAGCACGCUUAUUUUGUUAGGAUAAGACAAGAGUUUUAACUUUGAUUUCAAAAAAACAAAAUUUGAACGAAAGAAGGAAAUAAAAAUCUCUGACACUGUCAAAAAUCAUUGUGCAUGGAUACUAUAUGUGAUAUGAAAGCUUUUGUUUUGCCAAAGAUAGUGAAACUAAAAUUUACAGUGUGGUUUGAAAUGUGGGGUUUUCUUGACUAAAUUCCCAUCAAUUUAAGAGGUAUAAUAGACUCUACCUACACGUUAAGAAGGUCAUGUUCUUGCUUUUAAUUUAGGUUGCCACCUAUCAUUAGUAGAGCUUGGAUAGACCAAUGAUAAUCAUUGGAAAUUUGGAAUGGAUCAACUACAAUUAUUUGAUGUAAACUACUUAUUCUAUGCACGCCAAUGUACCGGCUAAUCUCUCGAGUCAGAAAAGAUUUAACAUCAUUACAUUCUCAUUAGAUUUAACAUCGUUACGUUAAUUAAACUGAAAGAGAUCUCGUUCAUGUCAGACGUUAAUUAAACUGAAAGAGAUCUCGUUCAUGUCAGGUCGGUUCAACUACAUUAACAUCUUUGGAUCUGUCCAAUAAAGGCAGAACGUGGUUAUUGUGAAAUAAAGAAGGUUUUCUUAUGACAAUGGACUCUCAAGUAAAAUGGCAUGUAUGAAUCACUUUAUCUUUGGGAAGUUUUUAUUAUGACAAUAGACACAAAGUAAGUGCAUCCGUGAAUUAGCUUAUCUUGAAAAAAGUUUUAGAGAAAAUGUGAAAAGAAAAUCAUUUUUUAAAAUAUUUAGAAUAUUUAGAAAACCACAGUGCAUUAAUUGACUAGCAGCAUUUUAAUUUUAAAAAAUUUAAGCCAAAUGUAGCUUAGCCCAACUUUAUACCUGAAAAUGAUUGAUUUAAUUAAGCAACUACUGAAGUUCAUAUCAAAUUUUAACUUCCCACAUGGAAAGUAUAAAACCAGAAGAAAAAAAACAUAGUAUUACUUAUUUCUUGAGUUCUAAUAUAUUAUUUCAAGUUUGAGCCAGAAGUGGAUUUGGUGCAUCCAACAGCCACUACAGUCGACGAUCUCAGUCAUUGAAGAUCAGACGGUUAAUUUCAAAUUUCUGGUUUGCUGAAUGAAAUCACAAUGUACGUUAUUAUCUAAUGGUUUAGAUCGGCAGACUGUAGUGACUGCAGAAAUUAUUGACAGCAGCGAAUCCAGGAAUGUCUCGUGGCCUACCAGCCUUAAAUAAAAUAUCCUUGCAGUUGCACAUAUGAUACAAUUUCUGGUGCAUGUCAGCCACCUUAGCAAAAAGUAUAAAUUAAUCUGUCCAAAAAAGUCAAAGAUUAGAAGCUCGCAGGGUUAGGAAUCUUCAAUCUUGUCUAAAUUACGCGCACGCGACUUAUUUCUGCAAAUCAACGCCUUAUUUAUGCAGAUUGCACACUUUUCCUAUGUGUAUUAAUUUCUGAAGAGCAGCUUUAGCUUCUUCUAAUGUUUCAACACUCUGUCCUUCAUCAAAUGAUAUCCUCUGAAUGUUGAACUGCAUACAAGACAUUAAACAAUACUAAAAAAAACAGCAGGCAGCAAAAAUUAAAUUGGCAAACUAACAGUUGUAAUAAAAGCUUACCUGGGCACCUUGACGAACCCUAAUAUCAGUCCCUUUGCUGUCGAUAGAUAUGAGUGCUGCAUCAUCUACCUCAAUCUCAUUAGAUAGUAGUUUCUUUAGGGGCUUUGAGAAUAUGGCAUUGAGUUCCUAUUGUUUCAAAAAUAAAACCAAACAAUGAAGUGUUACAACUCUGAAAGAGAUGUAGACCCUGUAUGAAUAAACAACUUAUUUGCAGCUUAUAACACAAAUGCUUAUCGAUAUAAACGCUUAUGUAUAAGCUAUUUUUAUAGCAAAUGAUUAAAUUAUUUAAAUUAUUUUUGUAAUGCUAUAAACUGUUUUCUUAAUAUAUUUUGGAAAACUUAUGAAAAUAAGUUAGAAAAAGCUUAUAAAAAAUGUCAGAAGCUGCUUUUACAAAUUCACCCCAACAGUGUCACUAAAUUUAUGUUAGUAGAUAAACUCAGAUAAGCUAAUCUAAACAUGCCCAUAGUACUUGUGUAGCUCAGUGACAUUGGUUUAGUUACAAAUGCUGUUAACAUCAGAUGUAUCAGUUUGUGAUGGUUAAAUGUUCAGAGAUGAUUAACUGUUUUAACAGUUGUUAAGAAAUAUUCAAUCCUUUUUCCCAAUUCCCCACUUCACCCAAUUCCUCCCCGAGUCUUCGGGUCCACAUGUUUUGUACACAAUCUCUCUCCUGGUCUUGAUAAAUUAUCGUCUCGAUCACUAAAGUGUGUCUUUCUUGAUUAUCAUCGAUCCCAAAAAGGUUAUCGUUGUUAUUCACAUACUCUACAACGGUACCUCGUAUCGGUCGAUGUUACCUUCUUUGAGUUUGUUCCAUAUUUCGAGUCCAGUCACGUAACUCCAGAACUCAUUCAAGAAAGUACUCUCACACCUUUUCCGGCAGUUAUUAAUGUCCCGCCUACCAUUAUCCCCCAUCAGUCUAGGGCUCCUGACCCCACUUCUCGACCACUUCAAACAUAUCAGCGUCAUCACCCAACGCCUGUCGUCCCUGUACCUGAGGUCAUACCUGUCUCUGAGGUCAUUGCAGACUCUCCACCGACGCCUCUGCCAUCACCGGAUCUGAUCCUGCAACCUGAGUCUGAUCUUUUGAUGUCAAACACGAAAUCCUUCUCCACAUUAUAUUGAUUUAUCUUAUCAUCGUCUUUCCCCUUUGCUGUAUACUUGUUUGUCUUCUUUGUCUUCUGUUUCUAUUCCUAAAAUUCCAGGUGAAGCAUUAUCUCACCCUGAGUGGAGGCAAGCAAUGAUUGAUGAAAUGUGUGCUCUUCAAAGUAGUGGUACUUGGGAACUAGUUCCUCUACCCCAUGGAAAAUCUUUAGUAGGUUCGUUGGCUUUAUACAGUGAAGGUUGGUCCAGAUGGUAAGAUCGAUCGAUUUAAAGCUCGCUUGGUAGCCAAAGAAAACACUCAGAUUUUUGGAUUGGAUUAUAGUGAUACCUUCUCACCAGUAGCCAAGAUGGCAUCUGUUAGACUUCUUCUAGCAAUUGCAGCCAUUCAAUAUUGGCCUCUUCAUCAACUUGACAUCAAAAAUGCUUUUUACAUUGUGAUCUUGAAGAAAGUAUAUAUGGAGCAACCACCUGGGUUUGUUGCUCGGGGGGAGUCAUCGAAUAUGGUGUGUAGGUUACACAGGUCUCUUUAUGGUCUUAAGCAAUCUCCGAGAGCUUGGUUCGGGCAGAUUUAGCUCUGAUACCAUGUUAAGAAAUGUGGUUGGGCCUAACUCAACCCUACAAAACCGGUUGGUAGAGUGAGGAUUGCCCCCACUUAUAAGCACAUGUUAAGGCCAUAUAUUAUCCGAUAUGGGACUCUUAACCGUUAUCUCCACCAGUAGAUUAGCCCUUAUAAAUGCCAGAACUCAAACAAUGAGUUCUAUAUAGUAUGAAAGACAGAGUUUCUAUGAGUUUGCUCUUUGAUAAUCUGGCUUGUUUCUCCCUUUCACUUUCUCACAGUUUCCCACACUUCUUCAUUUUCUCACUGAGUCACUAACGCUCAGAUUCUUUUACUCAAGGACAGGUUUUAGAUAAUCAUAUCAACAAGUAUCUAAAUGGUGCAAUGUCGUUGCAAAAUAUUUGACUGAAACAGCUAGACUUGGACAUCAACAUAAGUUUGGUAAGUUUGGGGGUUAUUUUCUGGGAGGGGAGAAAUAACUAAUAAGGGUUAGGCCUCGGGAAAACAAAAUCAUUAAUCUACAUUAUGUAAGACAUUAGUGAAUAAAAGGAAACAAGCAGGGGCUAACUAGUAAAUGUAUAUAAACAUCCCGAGUGAAGCACGUGAAUAUCCAUUUAAUUAUGCAUCUAUCACCACUCUCCAGCUACUAUGCUUAAGAAGCUAUAAUCUCCCUUCCAGAAGGCAAACCAUAAUGUUCUUCUAAAUGGAGUAGAAAGAAAUAAUUUGCAUUAGAAUUCAGAAAAUUUACCUUCAGAUACUGCUCACCACCAUCAACUGCAAUCUUAUCAGGUUGAAGGGUUUCAUAAUCCUUUACAUCCACCCAAGCAACAGUACCAAAGCCUCCAAUGAAAUAUAUGUCACUGCCAAAGACAAAAAACAAUUUAAUCAAGUAUGCUUAGGCAUGCAAGUUUUCAAACCAAACAGCAAGUAGAAUUUGUAUUUCCAAUUCUGGAUGGAUUCUAUGGUUCGUGAGUUCUGUAUAUUAUCUUAUAAAUGACUAUUCCCCCUGUCUUAAGUAUAAGCAAAAGUCAAAAUGUAUUAGGUCCAAAUUUAAACCAAAUAUAUUUACUUUUAAUUAUAUUUAAGAAUGGAGGGAGUAUACAACUUUUUUAUGGGAAGCUUCAACGGAAAACAAAAAGUUCUACACAUGACCUCGAUGCUUCACCAAACCCCAAAAAUAUGAUUGUUUCGUGACUAACUGAAAAACAUGUUUCUUUUAUCAAACUCUACCAUGAUGGGCCCUUUUUUUUGUGAAAUAUGAACCAGGCCAAAGUAAAUUGCCCCAAAAAGAGUUUGCAGCAAAAUGUUUUGUUCAACACAGCAUAGAUGGAAAGUAGUCAACCUUAUAUUCUGCAUCCUAAAAUAGUAGAAGUUGCCCCACUGUUGAGAAGGACCCUGAUGGUGCUUUGCAAUAUACUGCUUAUGUGCCCAUUCCUGUUAGUACAAAUUUGAUAUUAUGAUAUAUGUGCAAAUAAACCUCAAUUUAAAAUAUAAAGUGCACAUUUUCUGACCCACAAGAAUAAAUUAAUCGGUAAAUAACCUGUUGAUCUUCUGGAAGCGGAUAAACAUCACCAAAAAUAGUUACUCUUGCAUUGGACAAACCACUCCAUCCAGGUAUCUAAUAAACAUAACUGUCAAUAAAACCCUGAUGGAGAAAAACAAGAAGCAGAAUAUAAAAGCUCAUAUAGGAAAUAUCAAAUAGAAAACCUGAACAACAAGUGUGCAUCUUGGGUCAGCUAACAAAUUCCUUGUGUGAAUUGCAAGAGGAGAAAAUGAGAAUAUUGGAUCUGCAAAUCAAGAAUACAAAACAUGCUUUUUAGAUAAAUACUAUGAAGAAACAAGUAAAUAUAAUGGUUCAACAAUCCUACCGAUCCAUAACCUGCCAAAUUAGGUCAAGAUCAACAUGAAACAAAUUUCAGAAGUGAAUCGAACUAUCUAGGUUAUGUAAUGGAGAGGAACAAAUGGAACCACCAAACCGGCACGCAUCCAGGGGCACUUUAGAAUGCAAGAAUCUUGAGGUGGGCUGUCAACUUUAACGUAUUCUUUAUUUUUGUGUAUAUUUAUGCUGUAUCAUUAAUUUCAUUUGGAUUUGAAUUUUCAUUAUAAUCAUAGCACAUGUUUAUGGUAGAAGUAAGAUAGGUUGAAUGAGUGUAGUGGGAUGCAUAUGCUAUGAAGCACGGACACCUUUAGAAAUAGGCGUGUCACAGUGUCCAACACCUGUACGACACGUGUCUGAAAAGUCAAACAAGUGUCGGAAAAGUCAAACAAAUGUCUCUAAAAGAUUGAUUUUUUUCUUUGCUUCGACACAUUUUGAAUCGGUGUCCAAUACCCCAUAUGACACUCAUACAACACGUGUCUGAUAAUUCAGACAAGUUUUCUUUAAAAAAAUUGUGUUUUUCUUUUCCUCAAAACACUUUAUACAUUUUCUAGACAAAUCUCACGCACGAUUAAAAGGGUUUAACAUGUAUUGAAACACUGUUAUCAAUGAAGAAUUAAAGACAUUAAUUUUAAUUAGAAUAUUUUGAACUCUUUUGAUAUUAGAUGAAUAAAUGAAACUCAAAUACUAUGACAUAUAUAGCAAUGUCGGUGUCCUAGGUUUUUGACAUAUCGGUGUCGGAGUGUCUGUGUCCGUGUCGUAUCACGGUGUCCAUGUCGGAAUCUAUGCUUCAUAGUGCAUAUGUGUGAAAGGAGAGGCAGGAGAGGAACUGGGACAGCAAGAGUACCCACUGAAGAGAAGCCGCUAUGGGAAAAGUUUGUUAAAAAAGAAUAGGAAAUGGGAAGGCUGUAACAUUGAUAGCUAUCUGUAAUACCCAAAAAUUUACCCUUUCAUUUUUUCCAAAAAAAAAAAAUAUUAAAUAAAUAUUAGAAUAUAACAAAUUAUUUUGGACUUGGGUCUCCUCAUUCCAAGCCCAAAGUCCGAAAUCAGCUAUAAAUAUAAGAGUUUCAGUAGGGUUCAGACACUUGGAAAUUCCCUGAGAAAUAGACUUGGAGUUCACGUGGAGUUCAAACCUAGGAACUACUCUGCAGCAACCUUCGGGCAGCCCUGAGAGUUCAUCCCGCCUCGCGCAACCCUAACCGUUACUUCGCCAAUCCGGCCUUGCCUUCCAAUUUUAACCAGGUCUCUCAUCAGGUAUGCCUCUGUUCAUUUACUCUAUGCCUCGGGUUGAAUACUGAUAUAUGAGGUAACCUCAGGCUUGGCCCACAGGGUUUAUUUUGUGUAUGAAUAUGUGAUUUAUGCCUUGACUGUUUAACAAUUUCGUUUAGAGGUGAAUGCCAUAGGAUCUGGAAUCUUUAACAUCGUGCAGGUACCCAUGGGAAAUCCAAAUCCCGCAGGUGCUCGCUAGCCGCUUCGCUAGGCGAGCACGCAGCGAGCUUCGCUAGGCUUCGCUAGGCGAAGCAGUCGCGAAUGUGACAGUAUCUGCUUUUUCCGUUUUGUUCUAACCUGUUCUUUGUGUGCCAUGGCCUUGUUAUCUUUUGAUUUCAUCCUGUUUGCCUAACCCUUUUGUUGAGUUUUUGUGAGGGCUCACAUAUUCUCGCAGGGAUACCCUCCGGAGGUUUAUUCCGAUUUACCGUACUGUUGGUUUUUUGAUGGCAUCAGCUUGGGAGAUCUCAGGGCCGCUUAUCCUUUAAUGCUGUAACUUCGGAUCUUGAUCCGUGUGGUAUUUUACUUCUUCCCUUUUAUUUCUACUGUUUCUUAGCUGGAAGACCUCGAUAGGAGCAAUGUUUGAGCCCCUUGUGGCAUUUUUUCUAUUUCAAGAUAUAUGUUUGUGUGAUGUGAUUGUUUCCCAUAGGAUGCGAGGCUUCGCAUAGCCUCCCGUUUGCAUGCCAAUUUAGGUAGCACUGUUCCUCUCCGCUAGGACUUCCUUUGCAUGCGCGUUCUACAACGCAAACAAAACCUAAACCCAAAGCAACACGUUUACCUCCUUCUACUACAGGCGAGUAAGUCUCCAAAGGUCGAGCAUCGGUAGAUUGCGUAGUAACGUCGUUCCACCCGUAACAUAAUCCAUAACCCCGUAGUUAGUCGAACUAAACGGUUGCCUCUNNNNNNNNNNNNNNNNNNNNNNNNNNNNNNNNNNNNNNNNNNNNNNNNNNNNNNNNNNNNNNNNNNNNNNNUUCUCCUGUUUGCCUAACCCUUUUGUUGAGUUUUUGUGAGGGCACAUAUUUCUCGCAGGAUACCCUCCGGAGGUUUAUUCCGAUUUACCGUACUGAUUGGUUUUCUUUGUUAUGGCAUCUUGGGAGAAUCUCAGGGCCGCUUAUCCUUUAUUGCUGUACUUCGGAUCUUGAUCCGUGUGUAUUUUACUUCUUCCUUUUAUUCUACUGUUUCUUAGCUGGAAGCCUCGAUAGGGGCAAUUUUGAGCCCCUUGGUGGCAUUUUUCUAUUUCAAGAUAUAUGUUUGUGUGAUGUGAUUGUUCCCAUAGGAUGCGAGGCUUCGCAUAGCCUCCCGUUUGCAUGCAAUUUAGGUAGCUGUUCCUCCGCUAGGACCUUUUUGCAUGCGCGUUCUCAACGCACAAACCUAAACCAAAGCAACACGUUUACUCUCUUCUACUACAGGCGAGUAGUCUCCAAGGUCGAGCAUCCGGUAGAUUGCGUAGUAACGGUCGUUCACCCGUAAUCAUCAUAACCCGUAGUUAGUCGAACUCGGCUUGCUCUGAUUCUCAUUCCAAUGAGAUACGUGCGAAGACGCGCGUUGCGAGCACACAUCCCCAACCCAUAGGUCAGCGAGCUACGAAGACUCUGUUCUCGUUUCAGAUGAGAUACGUAUGCAACGGAUGCGAAUCGUGCGAGUCAUUUUCUUUACCCUUUUUUAUAAAUAGUAUUAGAUAAACCCACUCUUUAGAACUACACAAUGGUCCGUAGAGUAAUGCGGAUGCGUGGGGUGCUAAUACUUUCCUUCGCUAAACCGACUCCGAACCAAGAUUGUGGUUCGACCUUGUCUUUUCUUCCCUCUUUUUCAGGUUUACUUCGAGCGUUUCCUUUCCCUCCCUUGGGAUAAAUAACGCACGAUGGCGACUCUUCUGUCAUUCUCUUUCGCCGGUUGUUUUUUCGCACACUGUAUUUUUCAGAUUGCGACACUAUCACAUGUUGUGUGAAGUUACCAGAAAGGGUGAUGGUAAAAAUCAAUGCUUUAAAAACCGAACCUGACCAUCUGAGACUGAUCAAAUGUUCAAUUCAUUUAACCCAAAAAACAAGUAGAAUUGAUGCAAAAUCAGUGAUAAAGAAUUAGUUUGAACAGUCCAAAACAAUUUAUAAAGCCCAUACACAUGAACUUUCAUAAUUGGUUUUUCUUUAUCUCAAAAAUCAUAUAGUAUAGCCAUUUUGUGUUAGUACAUUACUUGUACAUAAUAUUAUAAAUAUGUACUAUGCAUCACCCCUUUGUUUGACCAUAGUUGAACUAAUCAACGUGAGUUCAAAUGUGAACCAGUGCCUUGGUCGGUUCAAUGACCGGUUCGGUUUUUAUAAUAUCAGCAAAAAUAAAGGGGGAGGAAGAGAAAAAGAGAUAGGGGAUGAAAGGCUUGGGCAUGCUGGAGCAUUCUGCUUAGAUGCAAAAUCUCAACGUAUGUUUUCUUUUGCAUUUUAGUUUAAGCAGAGGGGUUCUACUAGUAAGUCCGCCUACUUUCUACCCAAUUCCAGCUCUUAUCAUAUUCUCACUCUUUCCUGAGUAAGAACCAAACCUAGAUUGCAAUCAUCUGUAAACUGUAAUCACGCCCAACUUACAACUAUUUAAGUAGCUUCAUUUCAUUAACUUGGUAACCAAAUACUAGGAUUACGAGAACCAGUUAUCAAGAAUGUUACAUAUCUGGCACAUUGGACCAGUGGCCCAUAACUCCCAACUUAAUCUCCUAUUAACUUUAUUCAAACUAAGGAUAUACAACCAAAAACUAAAUCCAUAAUGCAUAAAAUAUUCAUAAGUGAACAUGAAAAUCCAAUCAAGCAAAUGAAGAAAUAUCAAACUUACGGCCCAUCGAAUCCGGUGCAAAAUCAACCAAAGAACCAAAUGGAUAUCCUUCUCGUCGGUGGUGCAUUCGAGACAUUACAGUGCAAAGAUGAGCAAAUCUGGCCUUGAAUUAGACAAGGAAAAAACAUUUGAAAAUCAAUAAAGGUAAUCCAUGAAUGAAAUCGGUGCAAGGUUCAGUUCUACUGCUAAAUAUAUACAAUAAUCACCACUUUACCUGCUCCAUCAAAUUGCGAACUGCUAAAGCAGGUCUAGGCAAACCAUGGGCCGAGGUGGCACUCUGGACACCACCAGAAAUUGGAGUUCUGAAAAGUCCAGCCCGUGUACCCCCACCCGACCCACUUCCUCCCGGAGUAGUAAUAGUGGACCAUGACAUGCCCGUUUGUAUUGGCUCAUGUGCAUCAUCAUCAUCAUCAUCAUCAGUACUCUGAGAAUGGCUUAAAUUUUCCUUCAGAAGAAUAAAAAUCAACCCAAUUAAGUCACUCAAAUAUCAAAGAUAAACAUAUUACUCAUCAUCUAUGAAAACAGGCCAAUCAACGUCCCCUUUAUAAUGAAUCAUUAAAUUUUCCAAUAACUGUGCAAUUAAAAUACACGUGCACUUAGUUCUAUGGUAGCAAAAAUUGAUUUUGUAUCUAAUUUGAAUGAAUAAUGAUUUAUGCAUAGUUACCUUCACAUAAAGUGAGUUGAAUAGUAAGUUUGAGGCGUAGAAUCAUGGUUGCAUACAAAAGAUAGAAUGUGCUUGGUUAUAUUCACAUAAAAGUGAGUUAACAUACAUUUGGGGCUAAAAUCAACUCUGAAAUUCCAGCAUCAAAACGCUUGCUCAAAAUCACUCAUACACAUCAAAAAAUGAAUUCUAUGCAUCUACAAUAUUUUUUUACUCCUCCAACAGUGAAACAAACAUACACUUAUGAGAGCUUCAAAUCAGAUUUCCUUAUGGUUACAACAACAACCAAGCCUUAUCCCACUAAAAGUGGGGUCCGGCUACAUGAAUCAAGUUUCGCCAUAAUGUUAUAUCCAGGACCAUGCUUCUAUCCAAAUCGUUAAUCUUGAGAUCUUUCUUAAUAACUUAUCUUAUAGCCUUUCUAGGUCUUCCUCUUCCUCUAGUGGUUUGACAUCUCUCCAUCCAAUCAACUCUCCUUACAAUAGAAUCUACAUGUCUUCUCUCAACAAUACCCAAACCACCUAAGUCUAUGUUUGGUUCCACGGGCCGUAAUCACAUAUGGUUAGGUUAAACAUGAUUUGACUACCGAUUAGUUAUGUUUGCUCCUGAUAGAUAUAGUAUAGAUAGGGAUUUAUUAUUUUCUAUGCUUAAUAGUGCUGAGUUGUAUUAGUUUGUUACAGUUUGUUAUAGCUUUCCCACUCUAUAUAUAGAAUGUUCAUUGUAUCACUUUGAUUAUGAAAUACAAUGAGAGAUUCUCUAACUGUCUCCUCUAACUGCAUUAUGCACUUCUAUCAUGGUAUCGGAGUUGGGAGGGGACAUAGGUUCAGUGUUGGAUGGAAUGGAUUGUUGUGAGUUGGCUGAAGAAGAAGAUGAGGGACUGACAGUCUGUAGAGGGACAGGAAUAGAGGAGAGAGAUGGCAUAGUCCGAGAAGAUACAGUAGGAAAAGAAGAGGAGGCUGGAGUAGAUUGAGAAGUAGUAGGGAACAUAGUGGAGUAAGGGAAUUUGGACUCAUGGAACAAAACAUCUUUGGAGAUGUAAAUGUGUCCAUUAGAUGCAAGACACUUAUCCCUUGUGAGCUGUAGAAUAUCCAAGAAAUAUACAUUCUUGUGACCUAUAGUCCAAUUUAUGGGAGUUAUAGGGCCGAAGGAAAGGAUAACAAGAGCAUCCAAACACUCUAAGAGUGGAGUAGUCAGGUGGUUUGUUAAGUAAUUUGGAGUAAGCGGAGUGAUUGUCAAGUGUGAGGCUAAGGAGUCUAUUGAUAAGGUAAGCAGCUGUGACAAAAGCAUGAUCCCAGAAUUUUAAUGGGAGGGUAGACUGAGCAAGUAAGGUUAGGCUAGUUUCAACAAUGUGGCGAUGUUUGCGUUCAACAAUACCAUUUUGAUGGUGUGUGAAGGGCCUGAACUCACAACCCCCCCCCCCCCCCCCCCCCCCCCNCCCCCCCCAUCACUUUGAACACAUUUUUAUUUGAGAGUUGAAUUGAAGUUCAACCAUUUUCUUAAAUUGGGUGAAUUGACUUAGGGUGUCAGAUUUGAGUCAAUUCUACCACGAGCUUGAUUUCUAGCUUUGCAAUAGCAUAAAAUCAAGUCUUGAAAUUUUUUAAGUGAUAAUAGAUACAUCUACACUCAAAAUCACUUUUGAUCCAAACAAUUUAAACAUGAAUUAAUAAAACUCAUUGUUUUAAAACAUAACCUAAAAUAAAACACUUUGUAUUCAAACCACUUUUUAACAAAAUCAAUUAUUUCAAAAUGAACAUUAGCACGUGAAAAUCAAUUUUAUGCCACUGAAAUCAGUUUAAUCUUUCAACAGAAAAACAGAAUCAAAUUAGAAGCCGGAAUGAAAACACGAGUUAUUAAGCGAAGUAGAAGAAUUAAUUGAGAUGCAUACGAAUAGCAGUAGAGAAAGAGAAGGUACCUGAGGAUGAGAAGGUAAAGCGGAGGCAUUGAGUUCAUCACCUUCUUCGCUGGGAAGUUGAGUAGGGAAAGCAGAGAGACGAAGAGGAGCCGCAACCAAUGAGUGUGAAUGUGAGGGUUGGGUGAUUUUGAGGAAAGAAGGUCGAGUUGUUACUCCGCCGGCGGAGAUGAUGGAAGAAGGAGUGUGGUGGUGGUGAUGGUGGAGGAGUGAGUGAGUGUCGGAGAUCGAAUGAAACGACAUCGCUUCCAUUGAAUUGGGAUAUUAUUCGAUGAUGGAAAAUAGAGCGGUGAGGUUUUGAAGCUAAACCCCGUUGGCGUAUUCAAAGAGAGAAUAUAUACACUUUCUCUUCGCUGAUAGGGAUGAGAGUUAGGGCGUGACUCGGAUAUGACAUUCAGUCAGUUAUGGUACCGGUUAUAUUAAAUAAGUUUGAGAAUGACAAGUACUAAAAACAUGUUAUUUUACAAGUAUAUCCUCACAACACACAAAAGGUUUCAAGUGUUUGAUGUCGUUUAUAAUAAAAUUAUAUUUUCAUUUCCUAUUCUCUUUGUUCACACAAUGACUGAUUUAGUUGAUCAUUUCACACGGAUUAAGAAAAAUGAAUAAUUGAAAGAGAGAAUGAUAUUUUUACUAAAGUACUAUUAUCAUGUAUUAGGAAUGAUAAAAGUAAUACUAGUAUUAAUUAAAAGGUAAAAUUGGAAAAUAUGCAUUGGAAAUUGAAAUGAGUCAUUCAUUUUUGAGACACUCUUUUAUUCUAAAUGGAUCACUCAUUGUGGGACGGAGUGAGUAAUAUUUUUUCAGUCAUCUAUUAAGACGACCACAUCGUGCUCAUAAAAAUCAAUGAGCUAACCUCUUAUGACCAAUUUCUAGCAUAACAUGUGUUAGUGCGUGAGGCAUUUUGAGUGAGAAAAGGAACGAGAGGGAAUGAAAAGUAAUUCAUGAAUUAUUAUUAUUGAAAAACUAGUAAAACUGAAUUACAAUUAUGUGCAUAUAUACAACUAUGUUACUUGUAUAUUAAGUAACUAACAUUAUAAACUUUAGCCCUAACUAAUUUGGGCUUGGAUUACAACUUGGAUUAUAUCACAAUAUACCCACUUAUAAUUCAGAUGUUGAGAACAAACUAAUCAUAGUUGAUAUGAACUAUUCCUAAUCUCUUUCUCAAAGUUAAGAAUUUGUCGAUCUCUAGUUCUUUGGUGAAAAUGUCAGCCAACACUCGAGCAAUGUCUCACUUCAAGUUCACACUUGUUUACCUUCUCCCUUAGAAAAUGAAACAUAACCUCAACGUGCUUACUCCUUCCAUUCAGAACUAGAUUAUUUACAAGAUUAAUGACUAACUUGUUGUCAGUCUACAGCACUAGUGGUUUCUUCACUUUGACCUUCAUCUCUUCUAGCACAUAUCUGAUCAAAAUUGCUUGACAAGCAGCAUGGGAUCCUGCUAUAUAUUCAACCUCACAUGAUGAUAAUUCCACCACAAGUUGUUUUCCCAAACAUCAUGAGAUUAAGGAACCAAAUACUCGAAAGAAGUAAUUCGUUGUGCUUCUUCGAUCUUCCUUGUCUCCACAUCAAUCAACAUUUGAAUAGAAAGUAAUCACGACUUGUUUGCUUUCAGAGUCUCAUCGAAAUAGGAUUCCACGGUUCAUUGAUUCUUUUAAUUAUCUCAAGAUUCUUCUUGCAACCUUCAUGCGCGACACCUUUGGUUCAUCCAUGUAUAUGUUCACUAAUCCGAAUGAAAAACCUAUAUCGGGUAUGUUAUUGCACACAUACCUCAUAGAUCAAUUUGUUUGAACAAAGUAGCGUCGACCUUGUCAUCCUCUCCAUGUUUCUCCAGUUUCAGAUUUGGUUAGACAUGUGAGGAUGCAGGAUUCGGGUCUUCCAUCUUGAAUCUUUUGAGUAUUUCUUUGACAUACUUUCUUUAAUGUAGCAUCAUACCUUGCUUCGAUAUUUGAAAUUCCAUGCCUAGGAAAUAAGAUAAUUUUCCCAUAUCUGACAUUUUAAAUUCCCUCUUCAUCAGCUCUUUAAACUUAAUUUUUUCAUGUUAUUUCCAAUUACUAGUAAGUCAUCGACAUAUAAGCAAAUGAUUGUUAUAUAUUGUGCUACAACUUGAACAUAGACACCAUACUCAGACUUGCAUUUGAUAAAUCCCAAUUCGAUCAAGUAUGAGUCGAUCUUCUUGUUCCAUGCCCUAGGUGCCUACUUGAGACCAUAAAGGGUUUUUUGCAACUUGUAUACUUUCCUCACUUCCUUUUGUAUAACAAACCCAAGAGGUUGUGUGACAUACACGACUUCAUCUAUGGGACCAUUCAAAAAUCAAUCUUGCUUACAUGACAAGGCUACUGUAACACCCUUCUAAAUACCCCAAAUUAUUAUAAUUAAAAUAACAAUAUAUUCAUCAGAGUAAUUAUGCCCCGAAGGGUGUCACACAAUCAUUUCACAAAAAUCAUUAAAAUAUCCUGUCUGCUCAUUUAUUUAAUCAAAUAAGGUUCUUUGCAUAAUUCGCAGCGGAAUAAAAUUCAACUCAAUGUAAAACAUGUAACACAAUACAUGUAAAUCAUCAACAACACAAUUCAAAUCAAUUAAGACAUCCCCUCCCGAUGUUACAUCUAUCGAGCAUGACCCAUAAGAACUACUCUAGACUCCAAGCAUUAGCUUCUACUCAACUCAUUCUCGUUACCUGAAAAAUAGGUGUAAGGGUGAGUUCCUCAAUCAAUAUAACAAGCAUUAUAGAACAACAUGUAAUGCUAAGUAAUUAACACAUUAAUUCACCCUAACCAGACUACACACUCAGCAACGGCAGUAUCCGUUCAAACAUCAUAUUCAACAAUAACAUAUAGCAUAUAUAUAAUCUCAACCAUACUCAACAUCAACAACACAACACACACAACACACAUAUAAUACUGGAAUACAUCCAUUCAUAUUAUAUGCCAUACAUUUAUUAUGCAAUGAGACUCUAUGCAUGCGGUAGGACUAUUUGUGAACAUAUAGUUCAACCUCACCGUCCAAAUCCAGGCACGGCUACCAAGCUCACUAGUCCCACUCAUUUGAGACAUAGUGACUCACUCACUAAUUCCUCACCAUGGGAAUUAGCUACCACCCCAAUGGGCCAUGACAUGCACGCUAAUCACCUAGCAUGCAAACAUUAACAACAAAAAUCAAGCUGAUUUACUCCACUAAUUCCUCACCAUGGGAAUUAGCUACCACCCGAAGGCCGCAAUAUGCAUGCUAAUCACCUAGCAAUGCAACAUCAACAGUAAUCAAGAAUAGACACAUGCUCACACUCUAAGCCAUAGGAUAGUCUAUUCACAAAUGCAUACACAACUGAUACAAUCACAGCAUCAUGCAUAUCAACACACAUCAUUAACACAUUUAUCACAAAAGCAUAUCAUAUCAUGCCACAUAAUCAACACAGUAUUAGCUCACUCUACUAAUACCUAUACUACUCAAAACAACGGGAAAUGAUCCUAUCACAUCAUGCCUCAGCUAAGUCGCAUCACUCAGCAAACAACAAAAAACUGCACAACAGUAGCACAGAAAAAUCACAAUUCUGCCAUAGACGUAUAUGCCUCUGCCAUACGCGUAUUGCCAAACUGGCCAAACCCAUACGCGUAAGCACCACUCUCAUACGCGUAUUGCGCAUUCUCGCCCAACUCAUACGCGUAUCACUAUCCUACGCGUAUGCUACGCGUAACAAUCUCCCCUUACGCGUACCAACAGAGACCAAUUUAC
rnacentral:lncRNA from 1 species